GAUGAACGCUGGCGGCGUGCCUAAUACAUGCAAGUCGAGCGAACGGACGAGAAGCUUGCUUCUCUGAUGUUAGCGGCGGACGGGUGAGUAACACGUGGAUAACCUACCUAUAAGACUGGGAUAACUUCGGGAAACCGGAGCUAAUACCGGAUAAUAUUUUGAACCGCAAGGUUCAAAAGUGAAAGACGGUCUUGCUGUCACUUAUAGAUGGAUCCGCGCUGCAUUAGCUAGUUGGUAAGGUAACGGCUUACCAAGGCAACGAUGCAUAGCCGACCUGAGAGGGUGUUCGGCCACACUGGAACUGAGCCACGGUCCAGACUCCUACGGGAGGCAGCAGUAGGGAAUCUUCCGCAAUGGGCGAAAGCCUGACGGAGCAACGCCGCGUGAGUGAUGAAGGUCUUCGGAUCGUAAAACUCUGUUAUUAGGGAAGAACAUAUGUGUAAGUAACUGUGCACAUCUUGACGUUACCUAAUCAGAAAGCCACGGCUAACUCCGCG
rnacentral:rRNA from 1 species